rnacentral:rRNA from 1 species
GCUUAGAGUUUGAUCCUGGCUCAGGAUGAACGCUGGCGGCGUGCUUAACACAUGCAAGUCGAACGAAGCUUUUCGGAGCUUAGUGGCGGACGGGUGAGUAACGCGUGAGGACCUGCCCUUAGGAGGGGGACAACAGUUGGAAACGACUGCUAAUACCCCAUGAGCCGAGAGGUGAAACAUUUUAUGGCCUAAGGAUGAACUCGCGUCUGAUUAGCUAGUUGGUGGGGUAAGGGCUUACCAAGGCGACGAUCAGUAGCUGGUCUGAGAGGAUGACCAGCCACACUGGGACUGAGACACGGCCCAGACUCCUACGGGAGGCAGCAGUGGGGAAUUUUCCGCAAUGGGGGCAACCCUGACGGAGCAACGCCGCGUGAGGGAGGAAGGCCUGUGGGUUGUAAACCUCUUUUCUCAGGGAAGAAGUACUGACGGUACCUGAGGAAUCAGCAUCGGCUAACUCCGUGCCAGCAGCCGCGGUAAUACGGAGGAUGCAAGCGUUAUCCGGAAUUAUUGGGCGUAAAGCGUCCGUAGGCGGUUAUUUAAGUCUGCUGUCAAAGACUGCAGCUCAACUGUGGGCAGGCAGUGGAAACUGAGUAACUAGAGAGCGGCAGGGGUAGAGGGAAUUCC